AGCAGCCGCGGUAAUUCCAGCUCCAAUAGCGUAUAUUAAAGUUGUUGCAGUUAAAAAGCUCGUAGUUGAAUUUCGGGGUCAGUAGGUUGGUCGUGCCACUGGUAUGUACUGGCCUCACUGAUUCCUCCUUCUUGUAGAACCGUAAUGCCAUUAAUUUGGUGUUGCGGGGAAACAGGACUGUUACUUUGAAAAAAUUAGAGUGUUUAAAGCAGGCUAACGCUUGAAUACAUUAGCAUGGAAUAAUGAAAUAGGACGUUCGAUCCUAUUUUGUUGGUUUCUAGGAUUGACGUAAUGAUUAAUAGGGAUAGUUGGGGGCAUUAGUAUUCAAUUGUCAGAGGUGAAAUUCUUGGAUUUAUUGAAGACUAACUACUGCGAAAGCAUUUGCCAAGGAUGUUUUCAUUAAUCAAGAACGAAAGUUAGGGGAUCGAAGACGAUCAGAUACCGUCGUAGUCUUAACCAUAAACUAUGCCGACUAGGGAUCGGAUGAUGUUAAUUUUUAAUGACUCAUUCGGCGCCUUAC
rnacentral:rRNA from 1 species